rnacentral:rRNA from 1 species
GCUUACGGCCACACCGCCUGGUAUACGCUUGAUCUCGGAAGAUAAGGUAGGUUGGGCCUGGUUAGUACUUGGAUGGUAGACCGCCUGGGAAUACCAGGUGCUGUAAGCU